rnacentral:rRNA from 1 species
UACGAAGGGGGCUAGCGUUGCUCGGAAUCACUGGGCGUAAAGCGCACGUAGGCGGAUUGCUAAGUCAGGGGUGAAAUCCCAGGGCUCAACCCUGGAACUGCCUUUGAUACUGACGAUCUGGAGAUCGGGAGAGGUUGGUGGAAUUCCGAGUGUAGAGGUGAAAUUCGUAGAUAUUCGGAGGAACACCAGAAGCGAAGGCAGCUCUCUGGGACGGUACUGACGCUGAGACGCGAAAGCGUGGGGAGCGAACAGG